rnacentral:lncRNA from 1 species
UGGAUGUACUCAUAUUCCUUAGGAAAUUUCGAGCUAGAUCUCCACUUGACUUCUUCCAGAACACUAUGGGUGUGAAUCUGAAGUCCAUUAAUAUGUCACACAAUAAGAGGUGGUGAGGUGGUCAGCCAUUAUUACCUCAGUAACAUCAUCUCCAAGGGCCCACUUUUGAUCUGGAAGGAAUCUGACUCUUGGAAGUUGCUGCAAGUAUUAUCAAGGACAUUUGUUAAAGAAGAAAGCCACAAAGACAUGUAGAUUACUGAAUGUAGAAAGCAAUGGAAUAGCUCGGAUCAUCAAGACGUUGCCAGUUUAUACAUCCUGUGCAAGAUGUGUGGGGCUGAGACAACUGUCAAAGGAGAGUGCUGCUCAUCAAGAUAACUGA